UAGUAUUCCAUUCUGAACAUUGCACAUGACUAUUUUCUCAAUGCUGCACAGUAUACUCUAUAGUCUGCCUACUGUUUCACUGCCACUGCCCACUUUGUACUACUGCAAAGGCAAGCACAGUCUGUAACAAUCUGCUAACCAGCCAAACUUAAUCAUCGCCCCCUCUACUGGCCAAUCAGUUCAGUGCUGAUAAAGUCGAGGACCGGUGUCUUUAAAGGAGUAGUUAACCCAAAAAUGAGAAUUUGCUGAACAUUUAAUCAUUCAAGAUGUAGAUAAGUUUGUUUCUUCAUCAGAUUUGGAGAAAUGUAGCAUUACAUCACUUGCUCAGCAAUGGAUGCUCUGCAGUGAAUGGGUGCCGUCAGACUGAGAGUCCAAACAGCUGAUAAAAACAUCACAAUAAUCCACAAGUAAUCCACACCACUCUCUGCUGAGCAAGGGAUGCAAUGCUACAUUUCUCCAAAUCUGAUGUAGAAACAAACUCAUGUACAUCUUGAACGACCUGAAGGAUUAAAUGUUCAACAAAUUUAAAUUUUUGACUGAACUAUUCUUUUAAGCUGUGUGGUAGGCAGUAAAAAUCAGUAUGUAAAUAAGUCAUUAACCAUAACAAAAAAAAAAUGCAAAUGUGAUAUUUGAACAUAUAUUUCAUAUUCCUCUGCAGCAGUUUAUAGUUGUGUCCUUCUUUUUAGCAAUGAGAUUGCUAAUUUGAGCAUGCAUUCUCAGUGUAUUUUAGUAUCAGUGUGUGUGUGCAUGUACAGAAGCCCAAAAAAGUAUUUGGACACUUAAGUCACACUUAAAAAUAUCUGAAUGUCAGGUCGAGUGUCAUCUGUAAAUAAGUGCUGUCUUUCCUUACAAUAAUUGACAUUUGCUUUGAUAUAUAUCUGAUAUAUAUUUAUCUAAUGCAAUGACGUUCAGACAUUUUUAUGUGUGAUUUGAGUGUGUCUGCAUGCAUUCAGGGACUGUGUGUGUGUGUGUGUUGAGAGACGUGCUCAGGCUGUGAACAGCAGCACCUGUGUGUUGGUGUGGGAUAAAUGAGCGGUGCUGUGAUACUCUGCUGGAUCCGAUCUCUCCGCUGGGACCCUCAGGACUGACGCAGCGACCUCUCUUAAGCCACCAGCUCUCUGCCAGAAGUAGUUUUUCUGAGAGUCCAGCGAUCUUGAAACUAAUGUAUGGUUACUUUGUGUGCAGAACAUGCUGGUGGUUUACCGUCUGACAUGGUGCUAAAGGAGGAACACACGCUUGUCUCUGUAGUGGGCUUCCUGUAGCGUGUGCUCCUCUCAUCCAUAGCAGCACUAUCUGAGAUUCC
ensembl:lncRNA